AAUAUACAUUUUUUCUUCUAUUCUUCUUUUUACCUGAUUGCUACUGUCACAUUAUCAGAAAGGAUACACAGAUUAUUCUGAUAAUGUUUUUCUUCUUUAAAAGUUUUUAACAUCUAUACUACUUUCCACCUCAAAGUAAUUGUCUCAACUGUGGCCAUUCAUGGUAUACAAAUCACAUGUCUAUUGAUUCAUUUUCAUUGCAAUGUUCCAAAAAUUAUUUGAUAUAAUUGGAGCUGAUAUGUGAAAUUGAUAUGAUUCAAAAUGCUCUGGAAAAGUAGAAAAGAGAAACUAAAACAGAAGUAGCAAUCAAAGCCUAGGUCUUAGCCCUAAAAUAUCUGAAAGUCCCUGCAGUGAAGGACGUCUAAACAAUACAGCAUAAUACAAUGAAACACACAUACACACAGAGAAUUAGGAAGGAUUAGGGGAGACUCUGACACUACUUCCCAGAAUGCUUCUUUGGCUCAACUUAAUCUCCUGCAGAAUUAAAUCUAUACAAAUGCAGGUUGGUCUAUUUGCAGGGAAUGUUUCUUGUCUGUAGAACCUAUAGCUAUAGGGUCAUAAACCUACUCAUGAAUGCUUCUGGAGCCUUUCACCUCAGGACACACGAAUCCCUGACAUGUCCCACCCUCAGGGAUAUAGCAGUCCUCAUCUUGACACUAUCCACGAAGAAUCACUUUGCAUUCUAAUAUCUAUCUUAGACAUGUAUCAUCUGAAGUCCCCAAAGAGCUACAGGCCUUCAUUUUGAGACUGGAAUACAUUACAGUACAGUCUCUCUCUCACCGCCACGAACAAUCUGUUUGUUUUACAUUCAGUCCAUACAACGUUACCUUCAGUACAGCAGAUUCACAGACAUGGAAACCUAGGUUUAGAAUAUCACCAUGAUUGGGAUCUUUUGUGGUGAGUGUUGCUGCUCUAUGACAUUAGAUGUUCCAUUCUACAACACCCUCUUCUUAUCUGUGACAACUAGCAGUAUAUAUAAAAGACCAUUAUGGCAUGAAAGAAUGGGCAUAUAUUCAAGAAGUUGACAGGCAUUGCCAUCUUCUGCUUCUACGAUCCAGAGAAGAUUGCAAUCAAAUCAGUAUCUUUGCCCCCACAACCCAAAACAGCUUUCCUGCAGCUUCUUCUUGAGGGAGUGAAAGCUGCUUAGAGCAGCGUGUAAAUUCAUGGCAAGAAGCAAUAAAGAUCGGCCCUUCCAAAUCUCAGCCAUUCAAGCAAUUGCAUCAGGGCCCUCUCUGCAGCAAAACUGCUGCAUUUCCAACACAGUUUUCUAAGCCUACAGAGCCUGAGCCUGGCGAACCAAAUCAGCACCCCGUUUCUCCUAAAGCUCGGAAACAGGUAAGACUGUUUUAACCAACAAGUUUAGUUCAGGGGAGAGUUUUACUUUCUCAAUAUACAAUAUAAAAAAGAAAGGAGAGAACAAGACAAAUGGCAAUUAGUCAUUGACAAUGGAAGACAUGAUGCCUAUGAUGGCUUAGUACAGGGAUAAGAUCGUUUUGUCCUGGAGGUGUCAUUCCUAUCUAUCAAAAAAGUCAGAGAGAUGAGUUGUUUCACAACAAAUUGACGUUGGGAGGAAACUCAGCUACAAGUUGGCAUUCGUUUCUGCUAUCCAUGGGUUAACAAAAUUCCAAAGUUAAAAUUUCACUUACAUUCUAUAAUAUACCAUUCCAGCUAAAUUUUCAUCUCUUCUCUUUCUCCUGCCUUUCUAAAAGAGUAGCUUAGCAUUUCAUUUCAGACUUGCAAAAGCCCUGAGAUUCUUUCCUAUCUUUUCCUUCCCAGAGCUCUUUGUAAGUAAAUCAAACCUGCCUUCCCUAUACCAUACCCUGCAUUUAGCAGGCAAACUCUCUCUCAGAGUGUACAAGGCGUGUAGGCUUAACAGACUGGUUUAUCCUUGUGUGUGCAGAAAGGCACUUAUGAAGCAUACUGUUUGAUGAUGACAUCCAAGAUCGAGUUUCAACAAUUUUUCAUGGUCUGUAAAAUGCUGCAGUGCUAAUAAAAUUCUAACCUAGUUUAGAUUAC